GGAUGUGAGGGCAAUCUGACUGUGACAUCUGUCACCCUAUUGAUUGCCAGGGUUGAUUUGGCUGAUCUGGCUGGCUAGGCGGGUGUCCCCUUCCUCCGCCACUGAUCCACGUGCGUCACUCCCAAAGCUGCACACUCGGUCGAAGAGGACAAUCCUCCCCUCUAGAGGAGGACUGUUCUUCAGUCAAGGGUAUAUGAGUAGCUGCGCUCGCCUGCUAGAACCUCCAAACAAGCUCUCAAGGUCCAUUUGCAGGAGAACGUAGGGUAGUCAAGCUUCCAAGACUCCAGACACAUCCAAAAGAGGUGCUGCACUUGGCAGUCUGCCUUU
rnacentral:snRNA from 1 species